rnacentral:lncRNA from 1 species
UAGUGUCUGUCUUUUUCCCUGAGAUGGGUUUCCUAUAAGCAGCAGAAUGUUGGGUCCUGUUUGUGUAGCCAGUCUGUUAGUCUAUGUCUUUUUAUUGGGGAGUUGAGACCAUUGAUAUUAAGAGAUAUUAAGGAAAAGUAAUUUUUGCUUCCUGUUGUUUUUGUUGUUAAAGUUGGCAUUCUGUUCUUGUGGCUGUCUUCUUUUAGUUUUGUUGAGGGAUUAUCUUCUUGUUUUUUCUAGGGCGUGGUUCCUGUUCUUGUAUUGGCUUUUUCUGUUAUUAUCCUUUGAAGGGCUGGAUUCCUGGAGAGAUAAUGGGUGAAUUUAGUUUUGUCGUGGAAUACUUUGGUAUCUCCAUCUAUGGUGAUUGAGAGUUUGGCUGGGUAUAGUAGCCUGGGCUGGAAUUUGUGUUCUCUUAGUGUCUGUAUAACAUUGUCCAGGCUCUUCUGGCUUUCAUAGUCUCUGAUGAAAAAUCUGGUGUAAUUCUGAUAGGCUUGCCUUUAUAUGUUACUUGACCUUUUUCCCUUACUGCUUUUAGUAUUCUAUCUUUAUUUAGUGCAUUUGUUGUUCUGAUUAUUAUGUGUCGGGAGGAAUUUCUUUUCUGGUCCAGUCUAUUUGGAGUUCUGUAGGCUUCUUGUAUGUUCAUGGGUAUCUCUUUCUUUAGAUUUGGGAAGUUUUCUUCAAUAAUCUUGUUGAAGAUGUUUGCUGGUCCUUUGAGUUGAAAAUCUUCAUUCUCAUCCACUCCUAUUAUCCACAGGUUCGGUCUUCUCAUUGUGUCCUGGAUUUCCUUGAUGUUUUGAGUUAGGAUCUUUUUGCAUUUUCCAUUUUCUUUGAUUGUUGUGCUGAUGUUCUCUAUGGAAUCUUCUGCACCUGAGAUUCUCUCUUCCAUUUCUUGUAUUCUGUUGCUGAUGCUCGCAGCUAUGGUUCCAGAUUUCUUUCCCUGUGUUUCUAUCUCCACUGUUGCCUCACUUUGGGUUUUCUUUAUUGUGUCUACUUCCCUUUUUAGGUCUUGGAUGGUUUUAUUCAAUUCCAUUACCUGUUUGGUUGUGUUUUCCUGCAAUUCUUUAAGGGAUUUUUGUGUUUCCUCUUUAAUGUCUUCUACCUGUUUGGUUAUGUUUUCCUGUAAUUCUUUAAGGGAUUUUUGUGUUUCCUCUUUAAUGUCUUCUACUUGUUUAGCAGUGUUCUCCUGUAUUUCUUUAAGUGAGUUAUUUAAGUCCUUCUUGAUGUCCUCUACCAUCAUCAUGAGAUAUGCUUUUAAAUCCAGGUCUAGCUUUUCAGGUGUGUUGGGGUGCCCUGGACUGGGCGAAGUGGGAGUGCUGGGUUCUGAUGAUGGUGAGUAGUCCUGGUUUCUGUUAGUAAGAUUCUUACGUUUACCUUUCGCCAUCUGGUAAUCUCUGGAGUUAGUUGUUAUAGUUGUCUCUGUUUAGAGAUUGUUCCUCUGGUGAUUUUGUUACACUAUAUCAGCAGACCAGGGAGACUAGCUCUCUUCCCUGAGUUUCAGUGGUCAGAGCAGUCUCUGCAGGCAAGCUCUCCUCUUUCAGGGAGGUGCACAGUUAUCUGGUGUUUGGACCUCCUCCUGGCCGAAGAUGAAGGCCCAAAACAGGAUUUUUCCCAGAAGCUGUGUUGCUUUGGCCUGCAGACUGCCCGCUGCGGAGUCCCAGAAUCAAGGUGGCCCCCGCGGAACGUGAGGCAGAAGCCUCCCGGGCUGUGCGGACACCUGUGCUCUGACCAGGAAGGUGGCAGGUUGUCUGGAGUCGAAAAUGGCGCCGCCUCAGAGGCUCUGUGGCUCUCGCCCGGUCCAGAAGCUGCUGGCCUCUGUGUUCCACACUCUCACCCGCAGACUGCCCGCUGUGGAGUCCCAGAACCAAGGUGGGCCCCACGGAACGUGAGGCUGAAGCCUCUCGGGCCGGGUGGACCCCUGCCCACCAUGUGCUUUCUUUGAUUGGCGUUUAGUUCCAAGGAGCUCUGUCGGUACUGGUUAGUUCAUAUUGAUGUUCCUCCUAUGGGGCUUCAAACCCCUUCAGCUCCUUGGGUACUUUCUCUAGCUCCUUCAUUGGGGACCUUUUUCUCUGUCCAGUAGAUGAUUGUGAGCAUCCACUUCUGUAUUUGCUAGGCCCUGGUAGAGCCCCUCAUGCAACAGCUAUAUCAUGCUCCUGUCAGCAGGCUCUUGUUGGCAUCUGCCAUAGUGUCUGGGUUUGGUAGUUGUGUUUGGGAUGGAUCCCCACGUGGGGCAGUCUCUGCAUGGUUGUCCCUUCAGUCUCUACUCUGAACGUUGUCUCUAGUUACAAAAUACCUUCCAUGGGUAUUUUGUUCCCCUUCUAAGACAGAUUCUGAGCUUCUGAGCUAAUAUCCACUUAUCAGUGAAUGCAUACCAUGUGUGUUCUUUUGUGAUUGGGUUACCUUACUCAAGAUGAUAUCCCCCAGAUCCAUCCAUUUGUCUAAGAAUUUCAUAAAUUCAUCGUUUUUAAUAGCUGCAUAGUACUCCAUUGUGUAAAUGUACCACAUUUUCUGUAUCCAUUCCUCUGUUGAGGGACAUCUGGGUUCUUUCCAGCUUCUGGCUAUUAUAAAUAAGGCUGAUAUGAACAUAGUGGAGCAUGUGUCCUUAUUGCAUGUUGGAGCAUCUUCUGGGUGUAUGCCCAGGAGUCAUAUUGCUGGAUCUUCCUAUAGAACUAUGUCCAAUUUUCUAUAUGGACUUCUUACUGGCUUCUUAGAUUAAUGACAGUGUUUUAAGCAACUGUUAAAAAAAGCAAAUUCUCCAACCUUGAAAACCAUGGGCAUACCUGCAUAGAGCAAAGAAAUUACUUUGAUAAUUGUGAGGAAAAAAAAAUCCAGGGAAAGUUUGUUUUGUCUUACUUUCAUGGCUGUCAAGAUAACUGUGCCAGGAGAAUAGGCAUAUUUCAUCCACAAUCAGGGAGAAGAGAGUGUUGAAUGUUGGUGUAGAGCUGGCUAUUUCUUCUUUUCAUUUUCACUGAGUCCAGGACCACAGCCCACAGAAUGGUGGUGCUCAUAUCCAGAGUGGUUUUCCAUAUCAACUAAAUCUCCUUGGAAACACCCCCACAGGCACAAACAUAUGCAUAAUCAACAUU